rnacentral:rRNA from 1 species
AUUGAACGCUGGCGGCAGGCCUAACACAUGCAAGUCGAAUGGUAACAGGAAACAGCUUGCUGUUUCGCUGACGAGUGGCGGACGGGUGAGUAAUGUCUGGGAAACUGCCUGAUGGAGGGGGAUAACUACUGGAAACGGUAGCUAAUACCGCAUAACGUCGCAAGACCAAAGAGGGGGACCUUCGGGCCUCUUGCCAUCAGAUGUGCCCAGAUGGGAUUAGCUAGUAGGUGGGGUAACGGCUCACCUAGGCGACGAUCCGUAGCUGGUCUGAGAGGAUGACCAGCCACCCUGGAACUGGGACACGGUCCAGACGCCUACGGGAGGCAGCAGUGUGGAAUAUUGCACAAUGGGCGCAAGCCUGAUGCAGCCAUGCCGCGUGUAUGAAGAAGGCCUUCGGGUUGUAAAGUACUUUCAGCGGGGAGGAAGGGAGUAAAGUUAAUACCUUGGCUCAUUGACGUUACCCGCAGAAGAAGCACCGGCUAACUCCGUG